rfam:Myotis brandtii contig169758, whole genome shotgun sequence.
GCUGAUGCUGGUGGUGACGCCGAUGGUGCGAGCUGGAAAUGGGGUGCUACGUCAUCGUUGUCAUCAUCAUCAUCAUCAUC